AAAACUUUCCAAUGACGGUCAACAGACUUGAAAAAAACAAAUUAGGAAGGCUCAUAAAAUAGAUACUAGACACUUCAGAAAAUAAACUCAUGGAAGAACUAUUAAAUCAGCUGACUUUGGACAAAGUACCCAAGGGGAGAGAAGGCAGCAAAGUUCUCUUGAAUCUCUUUUACUGCCCUAUUGUGUCCAUACUAGAGAGAGAGAGAGAGAUUGUGUGUUUGCAUGCCUCCUCACUGUCCAUGCAUACAUAAAUGCCAGAUGUAUAACUAACCGAUGUUGAAACAUGGCCAAGUCCUUCAGUUGGACCCAGCCUAGCCAACCCGAAGUCUGAGAGCUUUGCAUUGAAGUCCUCAUCUAACAGAAUGUUUGAAGAUUUAAAAUCCCGAAAUAUUAACUGCAA